GGACAUAUAGCUCAGUCCAGUAGAGCACCAGACUGAAAAUCUGGGUGUCGGUGGAGCGAAGCCACCUGUGUCCA
rnacentral:tRNA from 1 species